rnacentral:rRNA from 1 species
AACGAACGCUGGCGGCAUGCCUAACACAUGCAAGUCGAACGAAACCUCCGGGUUUAGUGGCGUACGGGUGCGAAACGCGUGGGAACCUGCCCUUAGGCUCGGAAUAACUCCCCGAAAGGGGUGCUAAUACCGGAUAAUUUCUUCGGACCAAAGAUUUAUCGCCUUUGGAUGGGCCCGCGCUGGAUUAGCUAGUUGGUAGGGUAAAAGCCUGCCAAGGCGACGAUCCGUAGCUGGUUGGAGAGGAUGAACAGCGACACUGGGACUGAGACCCGACCCCGACUGCUACGAGAGGCAGCGGUGGGGGAUAAUGGAGAAGGGGCGAGAGGCUGAACCAGCGAGGGCGCGAUGGUGAUGAAGGGGUUAGGGUUGUCAAGCUGUAUUAGCCGAGAUGGUAGUGACGGUACCGGGAGAAUAAGCUCCGGCUAACUCCGUG